rnacentral:rRNA from 1 species
AUUGAACGCUGGCGGCAGGCCUAACACAUGCAAGUCGAGCGGAUGAAGGGAGCUUGCUCCUGGAUUCAGCGGCGGACGGGUGAGUAAUGCCUAGGAAUCUGCCUGGUAGUGGGGGAUAACGUCCGGAAACGGGCGCUAAUACCGCAUACGUCCUGAGGGAGAAAGUGGGGGAUCUUCGGACCUCACGCUAUCAGAUGAGCCUAGGUCGGAUUAGCUAGUUGGUGGGGUAAAGGCCUACCAAGGCGACGAUCCGUAACUGGUCUGAGAGGAUGAUCAGUCACACUGGAACUGAGGCACGGUCCAGACUCCUACGGGAGGCAGCAGUGGGGAAUAUUGGACGAUGGGCGAAAGCCUGAUCCAGCCAUGCCGCGUGUGUGAAGAAGGUCUUCGGAUUGUAAAGCACUUUAAGUUGGGAGGAAGGGCAGUAAGUUAAUACCUUGCUGUUUUGACGUUACCAACAGAAUAAGCACCGGCUAACUUCGUG